UAGGGAAUCUUCGGCAAUGGACGAAAGUCUGACCGAGCAACGCCGCGUGAGUGAAGAAGGUUUUCGGAUCGUAAAACUCUGUUGUUAGAGAAGAACAAGGACGUUAGUAACUGAACGUCCCCUAACGGUAUCUAACCAGAAAGCCACGGCUAACUACGUGCCAGCAGCCGCGGUAAUACGUUGGUGGCAAGCGUUGUCCGGAUUUAUUGGGCGUAAAGCGAGCGCAGGCGGUUUCUUAAGUCUGAUGUGAAAGCCCCCGGCUCAACCGGGGAGGGUCAUUGGAAACUGGGAGACUUGAGUGCAGAAGAGGAGAGUGGAAUUCCAUGUGUAGCGGUGAAAUGCGUAGAUAUAUGGAGGAACACCAGUGGCGAAGGCGGCUCUCUGGUCUGUAACUGACGCUGAGGCUCGAAAGCGUGGGGAGCAAACAGG
rnacentral:rRNA from 1 species